CCUACGGGAGGCAGUAGUGAGGAAUCUUGGUCAAUGGACGCAAGUCUGAACGAGCCAUGCCGCGUGCAGGAAGAAGGCUCUCUGAUUUGUAAACUGCUUUUGUACGAGGGUAAACGCAGAUAAGUAUAUCUGUCUGACAGUAUCGUACGAAUAAGGAUCGGCUAACUCCGUGCCAGCAGCCGCGGUAAUACGGAGGGUUCAAGCGUUGUCCGGAUUUAUUGGGUUUAAAGGGUGUGUAGGCGGUCGGAUAAGUUAGAGGUGAAAUGCCGAGGCUCAACUUCGGAAUUGCCUCUGAUACUGUUCGGCUAGAGAGUAGUUGCGGUAGGCGGAAUGGAAGGUGUAGCGGUGAAAUGCUUAGAGAUCAGACAGAACACCGAUUGCGAAGGCAGCUUACCAAGCUACUUCUGACGCUGAGGCACGAAAGCGUGGGGAGCAAACAGGAUUAGAUACCCCAGUAGUC
rnacentral:rRNA from 1 species